UAAAACUCUUAAGUUUAAUACAACAUUUACUGAGAGCUUGUAUGUUGCAGGCACUGACUGUGCUCUGCAUUAGGAAUAAAGAAGAAAAAGGCAUGGAUCCACCCUCAUGUGAUCAUAUGAACUAAUGCAGUCAUAUAAAUCAAUUUAAGACAUGCUAUUCCAGAUUUCCUGUCACAUUGCGAGUUGACUGUACCUUAGCAUGUGAGCCAGAUUUGCCACACCCUGAUUAAAAAAAAAAUGAGGCUGACAUUGCUUUUGACAGAGAAAGCUCCUUUGUGAGGUCCUGGCUCUUGGGAAAGGGUGUGCCUCACACGUGAUUCAGUUCUCAGAGACAGGGAGAGGAAGCUGGAAAUGCUUUUCCGGGGAGACUGUACUGAUGAGGCAGCAAUCAGUCUUCAAUCCCCAAGGAACAAAGAGUCUUUGAUUUCAGUGUCAGCUGCAAGGCCAUACUUGUUCGUGCUUCAACUUACGCUCCCAAACUACCAGAUAAAGUUCAUUGCCACUCUCUUCCUCGCCAACAGUAAGCAAAAGCAGGAACUCCUGAGAGAGAAAUGCUUGCCCAGAAACAGAGGAGAAGUUGGAAGAAGGCUAUAUGGUUUUUGUUCUUUGUUGUUGUUGUUGUUGUUUUUUCGUUACUAAGGAAUGACAAAGCAGUAUGCUCCAUGCUCCAUAAAAACUUCAAAAACAGAGCUUCUAAGGAGGGAAUAAAGAACCGACCAAUUAGUAUUCCAAUUAAAUGAAAGUAUAAGUACAGACUUUCUUAUUCAUAAAAUCUUUUUUUUUCUCAUUUCCUGGCUUAAAAAUGUUUUUCGGAUUGCCAUCCAUAUUAAUGAAGAACAUGUUGAAACCUUUCACAAAGAUCUCACUUUUACACUGGACACAUUGGCUUCACCAAGUUUACCCAAGAUAGAUGAUGACCUAAAAGGUACAAGUCUUCCAUAGACAGCUUUGCUACUGUGUUGGUAUUUCUAAGAAUACUGAGGCAAAUCAGCAGCUGUAUCUUCAAACUCCCAGGACCUGAGCCAUGUUUAUGUGGGACAGUAUUGCUCUGCCCAGAGACCUCAGCAGAAGCUCGCUCAGAAGCUAAGUCCUCUGAUUUCCUUUUAGCCUAGCCUCCUUCAUGGGACUUUUACUCCAGUUCCUCCUUACCCCUACAUUCUGGGCCAAGGGCCAGGCUUAUAAAACCCCAGACUUUGGAUCAGGGUUUAGACAUACAUUGCCUAUAAAAAUGUCUCUGAAUCGGCAAUAAUCUCCUGUGCAACUGUACUUGGCUUUAAAAUGCUAUAUGUCUUUAGCAAUUGCUCUUACUGGAACCAAAUCUACUGAGGUUGGAUUAGGGAUGAUAUAAACAUUCUCAACCAAUGGAGGAAAAUAAUCUAGUAACAUUUCUUUCACUGUCUCCUUGUCAAAGCUUUUAAAACUACUGACCUCUGAUCUCAGGUUCCUAAGUGUUACUUGGGAAAGCUAUAUACUAGUGUGAUUUGAUUCUGCUGCAGUGUCGGGCUAAGUGAUUCUCAACCCAGGGCAUUUAGAAAAGAAUCGGGUUAUUUCCUUGGUUAUCACAAUGACAGGGGAGCAAUCCUGGCAUUGAAUGGAUGGAAGCCAGUGAUGCUAAGCUUCCUACAAUGCACACAACAGUCCUGCACAAAAUUCCCACAACACACGCAGGACUGACAAUACUUGUAGUGAGUGAUCUCUAGUUGACUCCCAGCUGCAUUUCCACUAGCGACUGUCCCAAACUAUUUCUGUUCUUCUCAAAACCACUCAGUUACCACCCCCAGUUCAUCUUCUUGUUUCCUCAGACUCUUCACUCAACAAAAACUUACUCAAAUUCCCUCCUUCUUCCCUUUACUCCUCUCUCUGUGCCCACCCUGUUCUCCUUCCUGCCCCCUCAGAAAAAGGAAUUUUUCACCUCCUUUCCAAGGAUCACAACAACUCCACCCAAGCCUUCGGUCCCUUCCAUCCCCUCACACCCCACCCCAUCCCCAACUCUGUCUCUGUCUCUUGCAUCUUUAAUGCCUUGCCAGUCCUUUCCUCGCCUUAGAAAAGUACUUGAGUUUUUCUGUCCCAAAGAUCAAAUAAAAGCAAAGACAGAACUCUUAAACCAACUACUUACCCCUUAAAUUAACAUUCCACUUCAUUUCUUCCACAUAGGGCCCAGUGUCUAUAAAGCAUUUUAAGCACUCACUGGUUCUAUUUCUUUACCAUCUACUGGCUCCUAAAACCCUCAUAAGGUAAUUUCCACUCUCCUAAUUCUGCUCUCCUGAAGGUUACUUCAAUGGCCAGUUGCCAGACCACUCACUCUUCAAAUUCCUUGGAUUUCUUUACAGAAUUAGAUCCUUGAUAAAUCACUUAUUAAAGAUCAUUACUCCCCACUUUUCUUCAGCUUGCCACUUGAUUGGUCCCAAUAAGAGUAGGGCCAGCCACACAAGAUGAGGGUCUUCAUUUUCCUGCACUCCCUUUUAGUAUUUCCGUAUUUCCCCUACUUGUAUAUGUCCAGAACUCUGGCUAUCCUGUCUUUGGAGCUCCUUUUCCUCCUCCCUUUGCCAUACACUGAAUGCAGGUGUCAGCCACCCUCUACUCAGUGUCAUUGGCCUUCUUCGCAACCAAGUGAAUGAUCCUCAAAUCUACCAACAUUCCUAGUCAUAACGCCACUCUUCAACUUCAGGCCAGACUAUUAGUUACCUGACAGAUAAUUCCACCUGGCUGGUCCACUACCACUCUCUAAAUUUAAAAUAAUAAAAUCUAAAACAUUCUGGUGUGUUUCUUUUACAGCACUUUAAAUUUGGUGAUCAUUUUUAUAGGUGACUGUCUUCCCUACCAACCUAGGAACUCCUUGAAGACAAGGAUGGUUUCUUAUUUAAUUUUGCCCUAAUAUGUGCUUCAGAAAUGUUAAUUGGAUAGUAAGGAAACUGAUGAGUGAGUGAAGACUUGAAGUUCCUUAGAAAAUAGAUGGUGUCUUUCAUAUUUGUGGUCCGGGGCCUGGGCUGGUGCUUAGCACAGAGUAGGUACUACACAAAUACCUUUUGAGUGAAUCUGCCUUCUCUUCUUCCAAGCCAGUACCUUCUAGUUUCUUUCCUAUCAAUGUCAAUGAUACUAGCAUUUUCCUACUUACCCAAGUUACAAACCUCAGUAUUCACUGACCCUUCCACAGUCACUAAAUCCAAUGAGUCUGGUAAGUCUCCCUCAAAGAUUUUAAAUAUUCCCUUUUACAGGCAUACCUUGUUUUACUGUGCUGUACUUUAUUGCACUUUGCAGAUAUUGCGUUUUUUACAAAUUGAACGUUUGUAGCAAACCUGUGUCCAGCAAGUCUGUGGGUGCCAUUUUUCCAAGACCACAUGCUCACUUUGUGUUUCUGUGUCACAUUUUGGUAAUUCUUGCAAUAUUUCAAACUUUUUCAUUAAUGUAAUAUUUGUUAGGGAAAUCUGUGAUCAGUGAUCUUUGACGUUACCAUUGUAAUUGUGUUGGGGUAUCACAGACCGUGCCCAUAUAAGACAACAAACUUAAUAAAUGUUGUGUGUGUUCUGACUGCCAUUACCCUGUCUUUCUUCCUCUCCUUGGGCCUCUUUCUUCCCUGAGACACAGCAGUGUUGAAACUAGGCCGAUUAGCAACCCUACAAUGACCUCUAAGUGUUCACGUGAAAAGAAGAGUUGCCUGCCUCUCACUUUAAAUCAAAAGCUAGAAAUGAUUCAGCUUAGUGAGGAAGGCAUAUCAAAAGCCAAGAUAGGCUGAAAGUUAGGCCUCCUGUGCCAAACAGUUGACCGAGUUGCGAAGGCAAAGGAGAAGUUCUUGAAGGAAAUUAAAAGUGAUACCCCAGGGAAUACAUGAAUGAUAAGAAAGGGAAACAGUCUUAUUGCUGAUAUGGAGAAAGUUUGAGUGGUCUGGAUAGAAGAUCAAACCAGCUACAACAUUCCAUUAAGCCAAAGCCUAAUCCAGGGCAAGGCCCUAACUUUUUUCAAUUCUAUGAAGGCUAAGAAAGAUGAGGAAGCUGCAGAGGAAAUGUUGGAAGCCAGCAUAGGUUAGUUCAUGAGGUUUAAGGAAAGAAGCCAGCUCUAUGACAUGAAGUCCAAGAUGAAGCAGCGGGUGCUGAUGGAGAAGCUGUAGCAAGUUCUCCAGAAGAUCCAGCUAAGAUAAUUCAUGAAGGUGGCCUCACUAAACGAUAGAUUUUCUUUUUUUUUUUUUUAAAGAUUUUAUUUAUUUAUUUUACAGAGAGAGACAGUGAGAGAGGGAACACAAGCAGAGGGAGUGGGAGAGGAGAAGCAGGCUCCCCGCGGAGCAGGGAGCCCGAUGUGAGGCUCGAUCCCAGGACCCUAGGAUCAUGACCUGAGCUGAAGGCAGACGCCUAAUGACUGAGCCACUCAGGUGUCCCUAAACAAUAGAUUUUCAGUGUAAAUGGAACAGAUUUCUAUUAGAAGAAGAUUCCAUCUAAGACUUUUAGAGCUAGAAAGAAGUCAGUGCCUGGCUUCAAAGCUUCGAAGGACAGGCUGACUCUCUUGUUAGGGGCUAAUGCAGCUGGUGAUGUUAAGUUGAAGCCAAUGCUCAUUUGCCAUUCUGAAAAGCCUGGAACCCUUAAGAAUUAUACUAAAUUUACUCUGCCUGUGCUCUAUAAUGGAACAACAAAAUCUGGAUGACAGCACAUCUGUUUACAACAUGGUUGACUGAAUAUUUUAAGCCCACUGUUGAGACCCAUUGUUCAGAAAAAAGUGCUUUAAUUGCCAUUGACAAUGCACCUGGUCACCUAGGAGAUCUGAUGAACAAUGAGAUUAAUGUUCUCAUGCCUGCUAACACAACUUCCAUUAUGUAGCCCAUGGAGCAAGGAGUAUUAGACUUUUAAGUCUUAACAUUUAAGAAAUACAUUUCAUAAAGCUGUAGCUGUCAUAGAUAGUGACUCCUCUGAUGGAUCUGGGCAAAGUAAACUAACACCUUCUGGAAAAGACUCACCAUUUUAGAUGCCAUUAGGCACAUUUGUGAUUCAUGGGAAGAGGUCAAAAAUAUCAACAUUAUGAGGACUUUGGAAGAAGUUGAUUACAGUUCUCAUGGAUGACUUAGAGGAGUUCAAGACUUUAGUGGAGGAAGUCACUGCAGAUGUGGUGGGAAUAGUGAGAGAACUAGAAUUAGAUGUGGAGCCUGAAGAUGUGACUGAAUUGCUGCAAGCUCAUGAUCAAACUUUCACAGGUGAGUUACUUCUUAUAGAUGAGCAAAGAAAAUGGUUUUUUCAGAUGGAAUCUACUCCUGGUGAAGAGGCUGUGAAGAUUAUUGAAAUGACAAUAAAGGAUUUAGAAUAUUAUGUAAAUUUAGUUGAUAAAGCAGGGGUAGGGUUUGAGAGAGCUGAUUCAAUUUUGAAAGAAGUUCUACUGUGGGUAAAAUGCUAUCAAACAUCAUCGCAAGCUACAGAGAAAUGGUUCAUGAAAGGAAGAGUCAAUACAUGUGGUAGACUUCACUGUUGUCUUAUUUUAAGAAAGUGCCACAGCCACCCUGACCUUCAGCAGCCACCACCUUGAUCAGUCGACAGACAUCAACAUCAAGCCAAGGCCCUCCACCAGCAAAAAGAUUAGGAUUCAUUGAAAGCUCAGAUGAUGGUUAGCAAUUUUUAGCAAUAAAUUAUUUUUUAAUUAAGGUAUGUACAUUGUUUUUUUAGACAGAAUGCUAUUGCAUACUUAAUAGACUACCUACAGUGUAGUAGAGAGAAUGGGAGAAAGGGCAUUCCAAGCUCAGGGAACAGAGAGAAUUUGCAAGUAGGGAAUAAGAACAGAUGAGUCUGAGGAUGGGAGCUUUAGUCAGGAAAUGGAGGGCCUCUUUGACACACUAAAGAGCUUAGACUUUACCAUUCCCAAUAUACAAUCUCUGCUUUCCCAACUCCAUGUCUUGGAUCUCAGUAUUUGCUUUGGCAUGUGUCUGUUUAUCUUGUAUUAAUGUUGUUGGAGACCCUUUCUGGCACCAUCAGCUCCUUGAACGAGAGGGAGUAUGUUUUGUUCUCCCUCUAUUAUGUCCUUAUAUUCUUUCGUUCUGGGCACUAAGUGCAUAGCAGAUGCUCAAUAAAUAUUUGUGACCCUUGGAUCACUUUUUCAGAUUUUCCAUAUCAAUUUAUAAGCUAGUAUUUAGUAGUAAACAGAAUACCUUUUUUUUUCAGAACAUCUUUUUCAAUAAGAAAAUAUCUUUAGU